CCUACGGGAGACUGCAGUGGGGACUAUUGCACAAUGGGGGAAACCCUGAUGCAGCGACGCCGCGUGAGCGAUGAAGUAUUUCGGUAUGUAAAGCUCUAUCAGCAGGGAAGAAAAGGACGGUACCUGACUAAGAAGCCCCGGAUAACUACGUGCCAGAAGCCGCGGUAAUACGUAGGGGGCAAGCGUUAUCCGGAUUUACUGGGUGUAAAGGAAGAGUAGACGGCGGUGCAAGCCAGAUGUGAAAGCCCGGUGCUCAACCCCGGGACUGCAUUUGGAACUGUGCUGCUAGAGUGUCGGAGAGGCAGGCGGAAUUCCUAGUGUAGCGGUGAAAUGCGUAGAUAUUAGGAGGAACACCAGUGGCGAAGGCGGCCUGCUGGACGAUGACUGACGUUGAGGCUCGAAAGCGUGGGGAGCAAACAGGAUUAGAUACCCCUGUAGUC
rnacentral:rRNA from 1 species